rnacentral:rRNA from 1 species
UUCCCAGACUCCUACGGGAGGCAGCAGUGGGGAAUAUUGCACAAUGGGGGAAACCCUGAUGCAGCAACGCCGCGUGAGUGAAGAAGUAUUUCGGUAUGUAAAGCUCUACCAGCAGGGAAGAGAAUGACGGUACCUGACUAAGAAGCCCCGGCUAACUACGUGCCAGCAGCCGCGGUAAUACGUAGGGGGCGAGCGUUAUCCGGAUUUACUGGGUGUAAAGGGAGCGUAGACGGUUCUGCAAGUCUGAAGUGAAAGCCCGUGGCUUAACCGCGGAACGGCUUUGGAAACUGUGGAACUGGAGUGCGGGAGGGGCAGGCGGAAUUCCUGGUGUAGCGGUGAAAUGCGUAGAUAUCAGGAGGAACACCGGUGGCGAAGGCGGCCUGCUGGACUGCGACUGACGUUGAGGCCCGAAAGCGUGGGGAGCAAACAGGAUUAGAUACCCUUGUA